rnacentral:misc_RNA from 1 species
AAGUCGUAACAAGGUUUCCGUAGGUGAACCUGCGGAAGGAUCAUUAACACGUAUCCAAACGUUAAAACCCUCCCCGUGAACCUUCAUCCUGCUCUUGUAACCCGCUCAGUUCGCAAUCUCUUCAGAGACCUCUGGCUACGUGCGAACAUUGGAACAGUUACAAUCGAGCGGUAGUUCUAUAGGCAAUGUUUCCCCAAGCAGUCAGUGUCGGAAAGUGUCAUUGAUUGUGCAAGGAUAGCGCUUCUACGAUUCCUGUAGACCGUACACGCGGGCCCACAGUCUAAUGUGAAGCUCAAUGUAAUACAUUGGGUAAAAAAACCGAACAACUGUUAACAAUGGAUAUCUUGGUUCUC